AUUGAACGCUGGCGGCAGGCCUAACACAUGCAAGUCGAGCGGGGUUUUCGGACCUAGCGGCGGACGGGUGAGUAAUGCGUAGGAAGCUACCCGAUAGAGGGGGAUACCAGUUGGAAACGACUGUUAAUACCGCAUAAUGUCUACGGACCAAAGUGUGGGACCUUCGGGCCACAUGCUAUCGGAUGCGCCUACGUGGGAUUAGCUAGUUGGUGGGGUAAUGGCUCACCAAGGCGACGAUCACUAGCUGGUUUGAGAGGGUGGUCAGCUACACUGGAACUGGAACACGGUCCAGACUCCUACGGGAGGCAGCAGUGGGGAAUAUUGGACAAUGGGCGCAAGCCUGAUCCAGCCAUGCCGCGUGUGUGAAGAAGGCCUUCGGGUUGUAAAGCACUUUCAGUAGGGAGGAAGGGUGUUGUGUUAAUAGCACAACAUUUUGACGUUACCUACAGAAGAAGCACCGGCUAACUCUGUGCCAGCCGCCGCAGUAACAC
rnacentral:rRNA from 1 species